ensembl:processed_transcript Gm11292 predicted gene 11292
AUGAAAAUACACUCGCCAAUGGCCGGGUCCUCUGAGACCUGCUCUCCAUCUGGUUCAGCAAGUUGCCCUCUACAGCUGAAGAAGAAUCUACCGGCGAGUCUCUGGGUCGAUGGUUUUGCAACUGGACAAAGUAGAAGCGUUAAUGCAGAUGCAUCACAGUCUUUCAAAGAUAUUCUAGCCCUGCCGAAAGGUCUCCGUGCUGAUGUCGGAAGCUCUGUACACCUCCCACAGUCUUGUUUCGUGCUUUGCCCCGUGAUGGUAAAAGACUCACUCUCUGUCGUCUGGUUUAAAUGGAGGAUACGGAGAAACAGAGAAGUAAGGUGCAAUGUGAAGACCCCUUCAGAAUGCCAUCAGCGUGUUUAACUGGGAGAUGGUGAUGCGACAUCAGAGCAGACACAGACUUCUCAUUGCAGGAUGUCAACUGACAUGGAUGUCUGUCUAUUGGAUGCAUGUAGAAAGGCAAGGAAGCUUAGCACGGAAGUCCAGCCCCAUAAAUGUGACAAGCCGGAUGGCAUCCCCUUUGUCCCCACAUUCUGCUCUCAUCUUCCUUCCUUCCUUCCUUCCUUG